CAUAGUUUCUUUUCUUAGAGAGUAAACAUUAUCAUUGGUCCACUGAAUUAUGUCCAAAGUUAUAGUAAUGUUUUAGUGACCUCAAUAUAUAGGCAUGAGAUUAUUAGAGCUUUGAAAAUUGGGAAGCAUAGGAUUUCUAUAAUCUUUUAGAUAAAAGUUAAAUGGGAGCAAGAAGGAAACGGACGUUGAGAGAACGAGGAGGAAGGAGAGAAAAUGGCAUCAAAGGAUUACAAUACCUAUAGCCACGCUGCAGUGCAGCAGGGCUACAGUGCUUACACUGCCCAGCCCACUCAAGGAUAUGCACAGACCACCCAGGCAUAUGGGCAACAAAGCUAGGAACCUAUGGACAGCCCACUGAUGUCAGCUAUACCCAGGCUCGGACCACUGCAACCUAUGGGCUAUGCAACUUCUUAUGGACAGCCUCCCACUGGUUAUACUACUCCAACUGCCCCCCGGGCACACAGCCAGUCUGCCCAGGGGUGUGGCACUGGUGCUUAUGAUACCACCACUCUUACAGUCACCACCACCCAAGCCUCCACACUGCUCAGUCUGCAUAUGGCACUCAGCCUGCUUACCCAGCCUAUGGGCAGCAGCCAGCAGCCACUGUACCUACAAGACCGUAGGAUGGUAACAAGCCCAUUGAGACUAGUCAACCUCAAUCUGGCAUGGGGGUUUACAACCAGCCUGGCCUAGGAUAUGGACAGAGUAACUACAGUUGGGGAUAACCAUGUACCUGGGAGCUACCCCAUGCAGCCAGUCACUGCACCUCCAUCCUACCCUCCUACCAGCUAUUCCUCUACACAGCCGACUAGUUAUGAUCAGAGCAGUUACUCUCAGCAGAACACCUCUGGGCAACCGAGCAGCUAUGGACAGCAGAGUAACUAUGCCUCCCACUAGUUACCUACCCCAAACUGGAUCCUACAGCCAGGCUUCUACACUGGAGGAGACUUCUGCAUCAAGUUUUGAACGACUGAUGAGUAAGUGCUCACCAGGUGGGGAGGAGCUCAGUAUAAAGCUGGUAUAAAGGCUUAGAGGUAUGUGGGAGUUGGGAUGAGUUUGGGGAGCAGCAAAUUGCCUGGAAUGCAGGAAGGAAAUGGUGAGAGAUGAGAGUGAAAUAAAAGUUGCUAGAAUUGUGAAGGGGCUCUCUUCGUAG